CAUAUAAAUCAUUCCAAAUAAUCCAAACGUAUUAUAAUGUCAAAAUCAUUAAACAAAGAGUUAAAUAUCACAUCACAAGGUUCAUCAUCUCCUAGUACAGAAAUAUUUAACCAACAUGGAGAAAAUAAAAGAAUACAUAUUGGCUUGAAGAUACAAUAUCACGAGUUAUGAAUUAGCGUGAAAUCUCGAUGAUCUUCAUUAAAUCCUAUUUAGUCUCGCUCAAAAUCUUCUCCAAGAUGUGUUUUCUUGCUUCCCAAUGCGUUCCUCCUCGAAAUAUGAUGACUCUAGGUUUUUAUAUCUCAUCCCAAUCGAGUUCCAAAAGAGUUGAUCGAAAAUAGGAAACUGCAGAAACGGUCCCCAGAAAAUAACUAUGCGACUGCACAGCACUAAGCUAUGCUACCGCAUAGUAGUAUCAAUUCUUGCCAAUUUUUUCCCUGCCAUGGGUCAUGCAACCGCAUGGGAAAAAUUGGCAAGAAUUGAUACUUGUCAUUCCGUUUUGGUCCUCAAUCUUUAUCUUCUCCAUUUUUGUCUUAAUUUCUUGUUUCUUGUCAUUUCGUUGCUCUAUUAUGCCCUCCAAUUGGUACUUAGCUCAAUCUAUUGCUCGACUCCCCCUUCAGUUCAUCUUUUAGGUAUUUGUGCUUUGGUCCCUAAACGUUCACUUUACUUCAUUUUAGCCCUUUUUUGAAUCAUUUCUCAUGGAUUCCAACAUGUCCAUCAAUAUAGCCUACGAUAUACAAAUCAAACGAAAUUAAGCCAUAAUUCAAACACUUUGCUCGUAAUUUAGUCAUGUUUGUGAAUUACAUAAGUGCAAAAACAGUAGAUCCGUGCCAUUAAUGAUCAAAUGCUCAAACAUUAUAUCAAAAUAUUGGUGAAAUAAGUUUUGGCAACAUUUGCUAGGGCAUUUUACCGUUUCUGGAUUCCCCGCAUUGGCUUGAACCAUAUUUGCAAAUUUUCUUGCAUCAUAUUGAUAUGCUUUCGAAACUCUAAACAAAAUAUGCUAAAUAAAUAAUCUAAAAAGCAUUUAUGGAUAUAUUUUAAAAUAUUCUAAUUUUAAGAGGACAAUAUAACCUUGAUAAGUGUACCCAAUGUUUAUCCAUGAUAAUAUAUACCAACACUAUUAAUUUAUAAUCUGUUAAAACACAAUAAAAAUGAAGUGAAAA
rnacentral:lncRNA from 1 species